UUCUCUCUGCCAUGCUCGUGAGGCUGACACGCCCGAGCGGAACAUUUACUAACACCGGGGGUCUCUUCAAGCCGUGGUGAGCUGCCCCAUUGCGCGGGAUUUGCCUGAAGCGGCCAAGAGGCUUCCACCUGUAAGGGAACUCGCUGUGAGGCCCCGACGCCAACGGCAUGGUGGAGAGAUG
rnacentral:other from 1 species